ACGCGUCUCCUCCCACUUUCGGGCCACAGAGACUCAGGGACAGAAGGGCCGUCCUCGUGCUCCAAGGCCCCGCCCCCCGCUCGGCCGCCCGCGCCUCCAGCGGAAGCCGGAAGCAAAAACAGGCCUUGCUAGCCCCCGGCUCCGAGCUCGGUGGUCUCGGAGGCUCUGCAGGAUGGGGCUGAAGAUGGCGGAAGAGGAGUUCCCCAAUACAACUCAUGAAGGUUUCAAUGUCACCCUCCGCACUACCCUGGUGGUCACUACAAAACUGGUACUCCCGACCCCUGCCAGGCCCAUCCUCCCCGUGCAGACAGGGGAGCAGGCUCAGCAGGAGGAGCAGUCAAGUGGCAUGACCAUUUUCUUCAGCCUCCUUGUCCUAGCUAUCUGCAUCAUACUGGUGCAUUUACUAAUCCGAUACAGAUUACAUUUUUUGCCGGAGAGUGUAGCUGUUGUUUCUUUAGGUAUUCUUAUGGGAGCAGUUAUAAAAAUUAUAGAGUUUAAAAAACUGGCAAAUUGGAAGGAAGAAGAAAUGUUUCGUCCAAAUAUGUUUUUCCUCCUCUUGCUUCCACCUAUUAUAUUUGAGUCAGGAUAUUCAUUACACAAGGGUAACUUCUUCCAAAACAUUGGUUCCAUCACCCUAUUUGCAGUGUUUGGCACAGCGAUUUCCGCUUUUGUAGUAGGUGGAGGAAUUUAUUUUCUGGGUCAGGCUGAUGUAAUCUCUAAACUCAACAUGACAGACAGUUUUGCAUUUGGCUCCCUCAUUUCUGCUGUGGAUCCAGUGGCUACUAUUGCUAUUUUCAAUGCACUUCACGUGGACCCCGUGCUCAACAUGCUGGUUUUCGGAGAGAGUAUUCUCAAUGACGCAGUCUCCAUUGUCCUGACCAACACAGCUGAAGGUUUAACAAGAAAAAAUAUGUCAGAUGUCAGUGGGUGGCAAACAUUUUUACAAGCCCUUGGCUACUUCCUCAAAAUGUUCUUUGGCUCAGCAGCACUUGGCACUCUCACUGGCUUAAUCUCUGCAUUAGUGCUAAAGCAUAUUGACUUGAGGAAAACACCUUCAUUGGAGUUUGGCAUGAUGAUCAUAUUUGCUUAUCUUCCUUAUGGGCUCGCAGAAGGAAUCUCACUCUCAGAUCACUCUCUGGAGUCCCAUGUGGAUGCUCUUGUGAGCAGACCUUGCCAAAGAGGAAGCAGAGAGGACUCUGGCCAUUUUCACUGGAGAACUCUUUGCAUCAUGGCCAUCCUGUUCUCAGGCAUCGUGAUGUCUCACUACACGCACCAUAACCUGUCACCGGUCACCCAGAUCCUCAUGCAGCAAACCCUCCGGACCGUGGCCUUCCUGUGCGAAACAUGUGUGUUUGCAUUUCUUGGCCUGUCCAUUUUUAGUUUCCCUCACAAGUUUGAACUUUCCUUUGUCAUCUGGUGCAUAGUGCUUGUACUGUUUGGCAGAGCUGUGAACAUUUUCCCGCUUUCCUACCUCCUGAAUUUCUUCCGUGAUCAUAAAAUCACCCCGAAGAUGAUGUUCAUCAUGUGGUUUAGUGGCCUGCGGGGGGCUAUCCCUUAUGCCCUGAGCCUGCACCUGGACCUGGAGCCCAUGGAGAAGCGGCAGCUCAUUGGCACCACCACGAUCAUCAUCGUGCUCUUCACCAUCCUGUUGCUGGGCGGCAGCGCCAUGCCCCUCAUCCGCCUCAUGGACAUUGAGGAUGCCAAGGCACGCCGCAGGAACAAGAAGGACAUCAACCUCAGCAAGACAGAGAAGAUGGGCAACACUGUUGAGUCGGAGCACUUGUCAGAGCUCACCGAGGAGGAGUACGAAGCCCACUACAUCCGGCGCCAGGAUCUCAAAGGCUUCGUGUGGCUGGAUGCCAAGUAUCUGAACCCCUUUUUCACGCGGCGGCUAACGCAGGAGUGAUGCAGCAGUUACCUCACUUGACAGCUGAGGAGACUGCGGCCCGGAGAGGCGAAGUGCCCCCCCGAGGUCACAUGCCCUGUGUGUGGCAGAGCUGGGAGCAGGCCCGAGUGUGUCCGAUCCCAGAGGCCGUGCAUCUCAACAUCGCGCCGCCCUGCCUCCUACUCUUAUUUCUGAGUGACGGCUCCUGUUACCUCCACCCCCACAAAGAGAAACCCCAGCUUGAGCUAAUCUCUUAACACUGAAAUUGCCCGUGGCCAAGCACUCUGCCUGCUGUGGCCCCCACACGAGGUACACAGCAGCUCCCUGGCCCCAACUGUGCCCCCAAUCCCCUGACAAGGGCUUGAUUAUGUCUGCUUCCCCAGGACCUCCACCACGGGCGCAUCCAGAUGAAAACCCUCACCAACAAGUGGUACGAGGAGGUGCGCCAGGGCCCUUCCGGCUCCGAGGACGAUGAGCAGGAGCUGCUGUGACUGAACAGGGCGCCAUGGCUUCUGGGCAGGCCGGCCUGCAGCGCUGCCGGCUGGCCUCCCCAGGGCCCCCGGGAUGGACACCCAGCAUGGGCCCCUGGAGACACAUGCUCAUGGCACCCUCUUCAGGGGAGAUGAAAGGGCUCCUCAGAAGCUCUCAGUGUUGCUUCUCGGCCCGCAGAUUGGAAGGACUACCUGUCCAGGUAAAUUUUCCUUCUGCCUCUGCAUCCGGGCGAACAGUCACUGUCCAGCCAGGUACCUGAGGGGAGGAAGCCUGCAGUGGAGCCUGCCUUGACCGGGUGUGCAGGGAGCCCUGGUGCCACUCCCGCCAUUGCUGGCACUGCCUUGCCCCAAGAGGGCCUGCGGAGGGGCCGCCCUUGCUGGAACAGCUGUCUGCACUAGCAGGGCAAGCAGCCUCCGGCCUCAGCGGCAGCGAUUCUAACCCCUAGCAGGCUCAGAAAUCUUGGAAACCUCACACUCCCUUUGGCAUGUUGCUUUCACUCCCUAAGAGUGACCCUCUUCUUUACCUCCACUUGGCACCUCGCAGGCUGUCUCCGUGGGUGGCAGGCAGCUGCAGCGUCUCUCUGGGAAUACUGUGAAUGUUUACACUGGUACUGAACAGGAGGCUGCAGGAUCCUCUCUCCAGCCCAGUGAGAAGCUGCGACCCCGGGUUUUCCGGUGGGGUGAGUGAGCCUAGUCUGUGGAGUCAGAGCGCCCUCUGGAGGGAAAAGCUAGACGUGACAGGGUUUAUGAGAUGGAGCACCUGCUGCUUUUGAAUUCAGUUUUAAUUCAUGAACUUGCACAGUCGUGAGAGCCUCGCAGUCUCCUCCCUGACCUCAGUUCCCUACCCAGGGGGCCUUGUUGUCCAGAGGCCCCUUUCCUGGACUCGGGGGUCUGUCCACAAUCUAGCUGCUGUCACCCUCACUGCUUGCCAUCAUUUCCUCUUUCCCUCUCCCAGUUCUCUACUGUCUUGGGUCCCAGUUACCCCAAGCCAGGGUCCCAGCUCACCAGAGCCCCGGAGCAGGGACCUGAGCAGCAGUGCUGUGUGCCCCUCCGCGCCCCCCUCCCCUGGACUCCAGCACCCUGGAGCCAGCUGCGCCCAGAGCCUCUCCUGCGAUGCCCAGGCUGCCAGCCUCCAGGACUCGCUAACAGUGUGCACACUGUCUCUCUCACAUGCACACGCCCUGCCACCGCCAUGGUCCUGGCCCCAUGGCCACCUCAGGGCAAGGAGCUGCCAAUCACGUCCAGAUGAAGUGGAGUUACUGACUUCUGCACCUGCUCCUCACCUGCCCUCUAGUGAGCCUCGUACCUGCUUGCCUUUUCCCAUUUACAGGCUGUUGGCAAUUCCCAUAUGUGGCUCUGCGUCCCAGCCAGAGCCUUGGGACCCGGCAGCCUCUGGGUAGUUUAAUUCAUCAUGUGCAUGUCCUUGGUUCUCUGCGGGGAUACAGUAGACCAGCAUGGACCCUGGGCACGCAGCCAGUUUCCAUCUCUUCUGCCUCAGACAGCAUGGCUGGGUGACAGGAGGGGCUGGCCCUGGAAUCUCCAGGACUCUGUGCCCAGCCCCUGAGGCCAGGCCCCUGCCCGAACCCUUUUUCUUUCCCCAGCGGUGUUAAGUGUAAGGCCGGUCGGGCAGGAAGCACAUGCAUCCUUUUUUAUGCAUGAAAGUAAAUCUAUACUUAAUAGAGCUAAAAGAUUAUCAUUUUCUUUUUGUAGUCUCCCACCUUAGCCCCAUAAUAUGAGCCAAACAGGAUUAUUUUACCCCACCUAACUCCCACUGGAGGAGUACUACCAUCCAUGACUCAGGUCUCCGUUAUUUCCUAUUUUCUUUCAGUGGGAAAGCAAGAAAGUCGUGGGGGGGGGGGGCCUUUUUUCCGCACCCGGGGGAGUGGCUGCGAAUGUGAGACCAGAUUGUUCUCUCAUUCUCCAGCUCACAAGUAACCUACUUUCUACCCUGAGAUUCGGGGUCUGAUCUCAGAGGUGUAAAUUGUAUUGCAAACUCAGUAAUUUGCCAGAUUUUUUUUUUUUUGGCUGUGAGUUCAUAGUAAGCAGUGAAAACAGGAUCUUCUCAAUUCAGACUGCCCCUUCUCAGCAGGUCCUGCCUGGUGCCCCACUUUUAUCUGAGACCUGGAAAUGAUGCUGUAGUGGAGAAGCAUGUGGGGGCUUAGGGGCAUCUUUCCCGGCAGGUACCCGCACCAGCCCGGAUCUCCCAUGAGCCUCUUCUGCCCCCUGCUGGCUGAGUGCGGGUGUAGCAGCCUGGGAGAGCAUCCCCUUGGGGACAAGAGUAACUGAUGCUCCUCAGCAGUCUUGUCUAGUCACCUUUGGAGCAGGCAGAAGCCCAUAGAGAUAUAUUUUUCUGGUGCAUUUUUUCAAAUCCACCAACUUUUUUUCAAAUUUUGCCUAAGAAUCAAAAAGUGCUGGUUUCUACCAUUAGCAUACUUAAUAAUUACAUUAUUUUGGGCAAUAAAUGCCUGAAAGAUUAAAAAAGUAAUACAGCGUAACUAACUUCCCACCUAUUUUCUUUAGGUCUAAGCCUUGGGACAGGAGAGCACUAGCGUAUAAAAUAGGUAAUACUUUAGGGGGAGGUGAGCGCUACGACGUCAGUGAGUGCCUUUGGGAGAGCCAGCUGGUUAGCCAGUGAACUCAGGAGCCAUGCCUGUCUUGGGGAGCUGGGAACCCAUGCAGUAAGCCCUACACCCCAAGGUUCCCCCUGUAGCCCUGUCUUUGUAGGAUCUCUGGGAACAACCAUCCUGCAGCUUAGGGUGUGAGGCUUUAUAGGGAAAGGAACUCUUCCUAGGUCCCCAGAGAUCAAGUUUGGUGCGGGCUGGGCUGGGCUGGGCUGGGCCGGGCCGGGCCGGCCCGGGCCAAAGGAAGGUGGCUUAAUGCUACAGUCUAGGGUUCAGACACUCAGCCUAGGGACAGAACCAAAGCCCCCCCCAACCCAAGGCCAGCCACCCCUUUUCACAGUGGGAGUGUUGGCAAGGCCCUGGCCGACAGGAGGCCAAGGGGCAGGGCCUGGCCCACAGUGUUGGCAGCCCCUGAGUAUCCAGGUCAACCCAGGGAGGCCCCGGUUUGCCUGCAGAUUCCUUUGUGUACAAUAGAAUGUGCAAAGAUUGGUGAAUGGGCAGCCUUUUCUCCAAAACCCACGUCAAAAGAGCCAUGUCAAAACAAAGACUUGGCCUCGUGAGGGCUUAGUUUCACAUUCCCACAGUGGCCCACACAUGCGGCAAAGUCCUCGGGGUGGCCAUGGCCAGGAUUCCACUUCUGCUUCGGUGGGAAGAGUGAGGGUAGGUCAGGGUGGUCGCUGGUUUUUCCUCAGCCAAGUCCUGGCCGUCAAAGGCAGGGCGGGGCUUGGGGUGGUUCUGGCUUAGAACUGGUCUUUGAUUCAGGUGUGAGGAAGAAUCUCUCCGCAGCUGCGAUCUACCUUUGAUUCGGCCUUUAAAUACAAAGAAAGGAGAAAAGGUCCCCCGAUCCCUCCCGCAUUCCCUCCAGAAUGCCGGCUGUGUUUCUUAUGCCGGUUGGUGGGUAGGAAAUAAAGUCUGAAAUAUUUCUGAUGCAGCAGCCAGAUUCAUUAAGGAGUGGCUCCACCAGAAACCCAGGCUGCGAAGCCCCAGGCAGUACAUUUAAAUGAAAACACCAGUCGGAGUAAAGGCUUAAAGAGAGUGAGUGGCGGCACUAGCUCCCUUUUAGGCUCCUGCCCUUUCUCAUACGAAUGGAAUCAGGUAUUCAGGGGCCUCAUCGUCAUUGGCCAGGUGACAAAACCACAAAGAUGUUCUAAUUUUCCCUGACCCACCCCAUUUGUCACCCUUUUCCACCCCAGUGAACAUAAUCCCUGAGGGGAAAAAAUACUUGGCUGUUCUCACCCUUGAGGUGGGCUUCUCCCAGGCCGCUCUGCAGGAGCCCUGCCUGACUUCAGGUGAGAAAGCUGCACGCUGAGAUGGGACAGGGCGUGUGUGGAUUGGUGGUCAAAAGAGAAAGGUCACCUUUCAGUCGCGGGGGUGCGGGGGGGGACCCAUGCUCCCGGGAGCUUGUCAGCCUUAUGGAAGAGCCACGUGGUCUUGACACUCCCUCAUCCUUGAUGCCCCAGCCCUGCUCUCACCACCCUGCACAGCCCAGAGGCCCAGGAAGGCUCCUACUCCCUCAGUGGCUUUAAUGGUUUCUCCAAUACAGCUCCUGCAGAAUUUGAUUUGUUUUUAAGGUUAAUCAGAGUCCUACAUUCUUUUGAGUACUUUUCUUUGUAAGUAUGAAGGGUUUUUUUUUUUACAUACACUUGUUGAUGUGUUUUAAGGACCAUUGGGAAAGUAAGGUGUAUUCUUUUGUCCUCCUGCACAUGUUAAUGAGUCAUUUGUCACGCCCUGGUUCCUGAGAAAUGAUUUGUUUCUCUUCUUCAGAUUAGGGGGGGGAGGAUGAGUGAGAGAUGGCGGGACCUGUAGCUGCCGUACUGGGGCCCCUGCAUCACCUCACCGGACUCUUUAAAUAAUUCAGAAAUGAAUGGGAAACAGUAAUGUCACUGGAUACUUCCUUAGGAAUAAAAAUGAUUGCUGCUGAA